UGCCCUGUGGUGUAAUGGUAACACAGUGCCCUUUGGAGGCAUUAUUCAUGGUUCGAGUCCAUGCGGGGCAGCCA
rnacentral:tRNA from 4 species